rnacentral:rRNA from 1 species
GGUUUGAUCAUGGCUCAGAGCGAACGCUUGCGGCAAGCUUAACACAUGCAAGUCGAGCGCGUGGCUUCGGCCACGAGCGGCGGACGGGUGAGUAACACGUAGGUUACCUGCCCUCUGGUGGGGAAUAACCCAGGGAAACUUGGGCUAAUACCGCAUAUGGCCUUCGGGUCAAAGCCUUCGGGCGCCAGAGGAUGGGCCUGCGGCCCAUUAUUUAAUCCUAGUUGGCGGGGUAAUGGCCCACCAAGGGUACGAUGGGUAGCUGGUCUGAGAGGAUGAUCAGCCACACUGGGACUGAGACACGGCCCAGACUCCUACGGGAGGCAGCAGUGGGGAAUAUUGCGCAAUGGGGGAAACCCUGACGCAGCUAUGCCGCGUGGGUGAUUGAAGGCCUUCGGGUCGUAAAGCCCUGUCGUGGGGGAAGAAGUUCUGACGGUACCCCACAAGAAAGCACCGGCUAACUCCGUGCCAGCAGCCGCGGUAAUACGGAGGGUGCGAGCGUUGCUCGGAAUCACUGGGCGUAAAGCGUACGCAGGCGGGACGCUAAGUCGGGCGUGAAAGCCCGGGGCUCAACCCCGGAAUUGCACCCGAAACUGGCGACCUGGAGUACGGGAGAGGGAAGCGGAAUUCCUGGUGUAGAGGUGAAAUUCGUAGAUAUCAGGAGGAACAUCAGUGGCGAAAGCGGCUUCCUGGCCCGAUACUGACGCUCAUGUACGAAAGCGUGGGUAGCAAACAGGAUUAGAUACCCUGGUAGUCCACGCCGUAAACGAUGAGUGCUCGCUGGCGGUGCAGUUCAUGCAUCGCUGGCUAAGCUAACGCAUUAAGCACUCCGCCUGGGGAGUACGGCCGCAAGGCUAAAACUCAAAGGAAUUGACGG